rnacentral:rRNA from 1 species
CCUACGGGAGGCAGCAGUGGGGAAUUUUGGACAAUGGGCGCAAGCCUGAUCCAGCCAUGCCGCGUGUGGGAAGAAGGCCUUCGGGUUGUAAACCACUUUUGUCAGGGAAGAAACGGCUUUUUCUAAUACAGAGAGCUAAUGACGGUACCUGAAGAAUAAGCACCGGCUAACUACGUGCCAGCAGCCGCGGUAAUACGUAGGGUGCAAGCGUUAAUCGGAAUUACUGGGCGUAAAGCGUGCGCAGGCGGCUUUGCAAGACAGAUGUGAAAUCCCCGGGCUCAACCUGGGAACUGCAUUUGUGACUGCAUGGCUAGAGUACGGUAGAGGGGGAUGGAAUUCCGCGUGUAGCAGUGAAAUGCGUAGAUAUGCGGAGGAACACCGAUGGCGAAGGCAAUCCCCUGGACCUGUACUGACGCUCAUGCACGAAAGCGUGGGGAGCAAACAGGAUUAGAUACCCUGGUAGUCCACGCCCUAAACGAUGUCAACUGGUUGUUGGACGGCUUGCUGUUCAGUAACGAAGCUAACGCGUGAAGUUGACCGCCUGGGGAGUCGGCCGCAAGGUUGAAACUUAAUGAAUUGAGGCUGAGAGNGCGAGACGACGACGAGGGAGGAGG